ACGAGAGUCCGCCACCGAGAGAUCCUUCCGCCACCAGAAAGGGAAGAGCGAGCGCGAAGCUGCCUUCUUCUUUUUCAUUGGAGGCGUAUCCCUCCGCUGCUGGAAUUGAAUGAGGCGAGGAUGGAGAAAAGGCAACCGCUGCAUCCGCGCGCACACGCGCGCGCACCCGUUAAACCGCUGCAGUAACGGGCGGAGGCGGGAGCGCGCCUAGGCCUGGCCAAAAAGAGAAAUGUCUUCUGUCUCUGAGGGGGAAAAAAACAAGGACGCAUGUCUGAAAAAGAAGAGGGGGGAUGGAGGGAGUAUAUUUUACUACACAGCCAGGUACAAAAAAGGAGGAAGCUAGAAAAAAACCACAAGUUCCUGUUCCUUAGCCAAAAGCCAGGAAAAAAACAGGCCAGUUGGGGUGGAACAGCAGCUACUAUCAAGUUAGCCUUGGCUGUUCACAUGCUUGAAAGUAGCCCCAAUCUAGCCUCAUAGGGAAGAACUAAUGAAAGAGCGAACCCUCCAUAAAAUGAAUAGAACUUAUCUGUAAUCUGCAGGUGUUGAAAGAAUAAGUCAUCAAAAACUGAGAUAUCAAAAGAUGCAGGAAGCCUGUAUAGCUUUUUUCCUGUUAUAGAAGAAGAAAUCCUACUAUAUCACGAUACAAUAUCUUCACCAGCAUCCAGUUUCAGCUUCCCUCAAGGUUAGCUAGGCCUAGUCCUACAGUAAGAUAAGCCUCGGGUUUCAAGUCCUGGAAAGCAGUGGUUGCAGCCCCCACUGCCUAGUUAUUUCUUUUGAGUAGGGUCCCCAUAUAUAAGGUCUUCAAACUUUUCUUCCUGAUCUUAGGGUGAGGGGAAGGAAUCUCAAGAUCAAAAUGUUGAACAGUGUGUGUACAUCUAUACUUUUUCAUUAUUUUUACUUGGAAAAUGUGCAUGAAUGGUAUACUCAAUUACAAUAAGCAAGCUAACAAUAUGCCAAACUCAUGCUUGCAUUGACAAGCCCAGGCAAGCUGGGAAAUCUGUAGAAUAGCUCUUGACGGAAAACUCUGACCAUUUGUGACAAAUUUUCCUAUAAACAUGUAAUAAAAUAUUUCAUUAAGUGUUUCAUUAAGCCUAUUCCCUGGGUUGAAAGUUACCAGAUUGGACUUGCAACAGGGGCCCUGUAACUUUAAUCCUUAACAAAUCUUGGAGCAGGGUGAGAUACCAUAAAGCCAUUCCCUCCCAACGUGGCUAUUGCACUGGUAAAAGGCUUCAGGAGGGAGCAUGGAGGAGACCCCCACCUUGUUCUUAUUACCCAGCUGUUUUUGUGGCUGGACUGCCCUCCAUGUUCUGUAUUUGCUAAUGUAAGCAUGAGCUUAACCUAUAGUGUGGGUUUAGCCCAGCUUGCUGUUUACCUAAGCAGCCCGAAAAACAGGAAAUUUAGGUACGUUUUAUUUGGGAGGCUAAUUUAACUAAUUUACAACACCAUAAAACUGCCACCAGCACGGGGAAAGAAAUGAGGAAGUACAGUACUCGGUGUCACUAGUGGACGGUGAAGCAACAGCUCCCCCUGUGGAUGGAAUCAAGCAUACCCUCAUGAAACUGGAAAUGUUAAAUUGCCUCUGUGUGUGUCUAUACUGUAUGUUGUUUGUCUGAUGGCAUUGAAUGUUUGCUAUAUAUAUGUGCAUUAUAAUCCGCCCUGAGUCCCCUUCAGGUUGAGAAGGGCGGAAUAUAAAUACUGCAAAUAAAUAAAUAAAUAAAUAUGAUAGCUAUCCCA